CAGCAGCCGCGGUAAUACAAAGGGGGCUAGCGUUGUUCGGAUUUACUGGGCGUAAAGGGCGCGUAGGCGGGCUGAUAAGUCGGGGGUGAAAUCCCAAGGCUCAACCUUGGAACUGCCUUUGAUACUGUUGGUCUUGAGUCCGGGAGAGGUGAGUGGAACUGCGAGUGUAGAGGUGAAAUUCGUAGAUAUUCGCAAGAACACCAGUGGCGAAGGCGGCUCACUGGCCCGGAACUGACGCUGAGGCGCGAAAGCGUGGGGAGCAAACAGGAUUAGAUACCCCUGUAGUCCCUGUCUCUUAUAC
rnacentral:rRNA from 1 species